UUGGGAGAUCAACUUUGAGGAUCCGAAGCUCGGUGACCUCCUCGCCACAUGAUUCGUGUACUCGGCCAGCGUAGUGGAGUCGAUCCUCGACUCGUCGCGCGAGGACAGUUACGAAAAAAUGCCUUCGUCGAGCUAGGGUUUGAUUGGAACGAGACCUUCGACUUCAAAGUCGCGUUCACCGAUCACGAGAAGUAUGUCUACCAUGAGCAUGUGAAGGAAUUUGGUGACUCUGCCAUCGCUGAAGAAUAUGAAAUCGACAUUCAUCUUGCCGCCAACGCUUUCAUCAAACGGCAAUGACGACGUCGAUUGUUCUUCCGCCGCCUUUACCUCCUUCAUCGACAAUGAAAUCAGUCUUGGCAACACGUGGAGCAAAUUCUACUUGACGACAAGCAUCCCAAACCCAACAACGGUGCUCCUACCUUCGACUUUGAUUCUUAUGGUAAUUAAUUGUUCCUCUCUGCUCCUAACUUGAAAUUUGUCAUUUAUACAAGUUGAAAUUUGUUAGUAAUUGAGUGAUUGAAUGUGGUGAUAUGCUGAAGUAGCACUUGGAGCAGCUCAAGGAUGAACUUAUCUUCAUGAAGAAUUAUAAAUUCAUGUUAGAGUUUAAGAAAUAUGAUUAUAGAUUAUUCUUGCUAUGAUCAUUCAUUGCUCAAGGGUGAACUUAUCUUCAUGAAGAAUUACAAAUUCAUUUAUAAAUAGUUAAACGUACUUUUUACUUGUCAAUUUUUUCUGUUAAAAUCGUUUAUAACUGUUAUUGGUUAGACAACUACAACUAUCUCUAGAUUGAUAUUUUGCAGUAUAUAUAGACAUUGUAACAAAAGUUCCUCAUUUGUGAAAUUUUUUCCUUUGAUACAAAGUAAUAGUUAGCAUUUAGUUAGUAUUAUCUGGUUGGACUUUGAAUUUGGUAGAUUUCUAUUUCCUUACUAUACAUUUUUUUUUUGGUGGUUAUGGUUGUACUUAUGUUUAGUUUUAUAAUUUAUCAAAUUAUAGCACCUAGGAAAUGCAAAAGACAAGAUAGAAUACUCUGUCUCUAAACCCAUACUUGAAAAAUAUUAAAGUGUAUUGUAUCUAACAAAUGUUUGAUGAAGUUGUUCUAUUACUACUCAACUGUUUCUGUUUUUGAUGAUAUGUUAAACUUUGAGUCUUUCUACGAGAAGGUAGUUUAACAAUUUUGACAAGCUUUGGAGAUUUCACCACAGUGUGUGCCUGCACAAUAUGGACUUGCUUUGGGGCUGCUUGGUUUAGCAAAAAGACUGCAUCAAUCUAGGAGCAUAUAGAUGGGGGGCUUCACUGUUACAGGUUUUUCUCUUCAAUAUUUUGUCUUUAAUAAUUAUUAUGUUGUUUUUUAUUAAGUUUUCAAUGCUUUUGUUGCUUUUAUAAAUUCUUUUAGAGGGCUUCUGAUGCAAAUAUGUUACAGGCUUCUCAAGAGGUUCAAGAUUUAGAUGUAGACAACCUUUUGUUUAUUUCUUAAAUUCUGUGUGGUGGAGACUAAGAGUGUAGUUAUCAAACAUUGUUAUUGCUUAUGCAUUAAUGGCACAUUAAAUAGUAAUCAGAGGAAGAGAAAAAGCAUAAGAAAAUGGAAUAAAGCAAAGGAAGAGUUUGUGUAACAAGAGGAACAAGCUUUAUUGGUUCAUGGAUUAUCAAGAACCUCCUUCAAGAUGGUUACUUUGUUAACACCACUGAGAAACAACUCAGGGACUCAAUCCUUUGAUGUUCAUGUUUGUUGUACUUGGGAAUACCACUUAUGUAGCCAUGUAUUAACACUGGUAAUACUCCUGCUAAGCUAUUUGUUGUGGAUGAGUUACUUCUUGUGAUAGUAUACAUGAUGGAUAUUAAAUUGGCAGAAAAUUUGCUCUCUGCAGUAUAUCAAUGACCUUUUUGUUACUAGCAAGAAGAUUACUAAGUAUUUAAAUUUGACAAUGUGAUUAGUCUAAACCUUCUCUGUUAUGCUUCCUUUGUCUGCCACAAAAAGCAAGCAAAUUAAUAGCAAAAAGAUCAUCACAAAUGGACAACUCUUCCUUAUAAAGCAACUUUUAAUUUUAAGUGAGCAGGUAAUUAUGUCAGUCUUCUUAGUGAAGUUUUAUAGGCUUCAUUAGAUAGGAAUGAUGACCAUAAAAGAUGUCCUAAACAUAGUAUGCUGCUUCACUUUGUUUUAGUCAUUCACAAUCCUAAGAGAAAAAGUUCCUUUAAAUCUAGUUUUUAAUAUUUUUCUUGUGCACAGAACAAUUGGUUGAAUCUGUUUUGAGCAAGGUUUUAGAGGAGUUUGACAAAGCAAAGUAACAAGGAGAUUCUUGGACUCAAAUCCAAUGGUGUUUUAGUUGAGGGUCUUCAUUUCAAACCUGCUUUUGCUUCUUCUUUUGUUUUUAUUUUGAGAUUCUGCGAAUUGAUAUAGUAAUUUUCUUAUUAGUUCCAAGGGAUUGUGACACGUACUGACAUUUAAUUAAGUGUUUUUUACUGUGUUAUGUUAGUUUCUGUGAGUUAUUAAUGUUUAUGUUAUGUUAGGCCUAUUUUUGACUUUUAAGUUUUAUUAUUUUGUGUGCAUUUAAUAUUUUGUUUUGCCACCUGGGACAAAUUUAAAAUAUCUUGCAGCAUCACCCACCUAACAAGCAUUGCAGAAUGAUAAUGGGUUUACAGUGCAGAAAUUUAUGAUGUGCCAAAGAGAUAAAGCACUGAUAUGACCUUCCCACGUGUGGAGUCAAAGAGCAUUUUCUUUUUUUUUUCUUUGUGGUGGCUGACGACUACGGACACUAGAUCACUUGUUAGCCACACAAUUGAUGAAUACACUCUUGUUUCAGCAAUUCGACCAAAAGGGGCAUUAUUCACCAUGUUGGUUCCUGCCACAGGAUCAAUCUACUGGUCUGAAAGAUAUCCUGCAGAGAUUGGCACCCCAUUACAAUGCCGAACUAUAGGUUUCUGAUCAAGGAAGUGUGCCAACUAAUACAACAAGUUCUGGACAUGAGAAAAAUCAUAUGUGAUAGUUAACGAAUAUAAUAUAAUGUGGAAGUUAAUUGAAUCAUUUUAUGUUUUGAGAACCAUUGCAGUACUUCAUGAUAGGUUUUGCUGACUAAUAUGGUACUUGAAUUUGAAUUUGAAUUCGUAUAUUUGUUAUACUUUGAUAUACAUUUAGU